rnacentral:misc_RNA from 1 species
UUCCUUUGACCUUUGACUCCUCUUGAUAUUAGUGUUGAUUGUCAAAACUGUAAAUGUAAUCUAGAGUGCUACCACCUACCAAAAAGUUAUACAGAGUAAAAACGAGUAGAACAAGAUGCCACGGACCAGAGACAAGGUUUUGCUUGGUCUAGGAGGAGUAGCGGGUUUGUCGGUGGCAGCUUGGCAAACCAUGUUCCCUUGGCUAAAAUAUGACUUGGACUUUAUGAGAGUUGGGAAAAAGAUUGGCCAACAUAUGAGCAAGGAUAUAGAGAUAAAAAGAUAUAUCAUUGAAAUGUUUGAAGAGACUGUUGCUAGAUGUCCAAAGAAAACCAUGAUCAUUUUCGAAGACAGAGAAUAUACUUAUGAGUUCAUGAAUGAACAAGCUAAAAAGGUGGCUAAUAUCGCAUAUGAGUGGAAGUUCAAGGUUGGAGAGACAAUUGCAAUAAUCAUUCAGAACCAUCCAUCAUUUGUGUGGACAUUUUUAGGUCUCCAAAAAGUUGGUUUAGGUGUUGCUUUCAUAAAUUAUCACAACAGAAGUAAACCUCUGCUUCACACCAUAAAAGUUAGCAAGGCAAAAGCAGUGAUUGUUGGACCAGAGGAUGAGCUGUUCCAUGCCGUUGAAGAGAUUCGCCCAGAAUUAGACAUUCCUUUGUAUCUGUACGGCAAAUCCACAGCUAAUGUUCCGGAGGGCUACAUCUCGUGGGACGACCUGAUGCUGAAUUCUCCGGCCGCCGAUAUAAGCAAAAGUCUCAGAAGCAGUUUCACUCUGGUGACUCCGUGCAUUUACAUCUUCACUUCAGGAACAACAGGCUUACCUAAGCCAGCCAUCGUAAAUCAAGGGAAAGCAAUCGGCUUCUCCAAGUUUCUGAUGUUCUCGGAGAUGACCCCAGAGGACAGAGUGUACAGCACAACGCCACUGUACCACAGUGCUGCCACACUUGCUCUGUUCAGUGUGAUGGCAUUAGAGGCCUGAGGAUGGUAAUCAUAACAUUAGGGCCAUGAUAGGAAAUGGACUCCGUGCAGAUAUAUGGGAGGCAUUCCAGAAGAGAUACAAAAUUCCAAAGAUAGUGGAGUUUUUCGGAGCCACAGAAGGAACAGCAGCUUUUGUAAACACAUGGGGGCGUGUUGGAUCCUGUGGACGAUUGUCUCCAUUUCUGAACAAGAUUAGUCCAACCAAAUCCUAUAUUGUACGCUACGACCCCAGAACAGAUGCUCCUCUGCGGAACAAAGAAGGAAGAUGUAUUCUUUGCAAAAUAGGAGAACCAGGGCUCAUGAUUGGAGGAAUACCAAACCCUGCACUCUAUGCAGAAGGUUUUUACCUGGGAGGUAAAGAGAUAAACGAAAAGAAGUAUGUCAGGAAUGCCUUUGUGGAGGGGGAUGCUUACUUCAACUUUGGUGAUUUAAUGUACUACGAUAAAGAUUACUUCAUCUAUUUUAAAGACCGAUUGGGAGAUACUUUCAGAUGGAAAGGUGAAAAUGUUUCCACAAAUGAGGUAGCCAAUGUGCUGACUGCACUUCCAUUUAUACAGGACGCCAACGUGUAUGGAGUGGAGGUACCAGGUGCGGAUGGUCGGGCAGGCAUGGCUGCUAUACUGCUGAAGGACACGGUGGAGUUCCACACCGACCUACUGCCCCAGAUCUUCCACCACUGUGAGGAGAACCUGCCCGUGUAUGCUCGUCCUCUGUUCCUCCGAUUCAUCAAGGAAAUGCCCCUGACCACCACCCACAAACAGAAGAAGGUGCAAUAUGUCAAGGAAGGAUUUAAUCCAGCCCUCAUCAGUGAUCCUCUUUUCCGUGUUUCUGCUGAAACUAAAACCUACAUCCCACUCACAACAGAAAAUGUGAGCCAGUUUAUGGCCAAAUCACGACUGUAGGGCAGAGAUUAUACAUUGCUCAUAGAGUGCCUGUUCAAUGUAUCUAGACAAAAGCUCAAUCCAAACCUGGUUUAUUAAUUUUGUUUUGUACCUACGAGUAUAGUUUACUUUUUUAUGAACUACAUGAUGAAGAAACUAUUUAUAGUGAAUGCAGAGGGACAGAGAUAAACACUCAGUCUAUGGUGUCCAUAGACUGAGUGUUUAAACUAUGCAAUCAGCUUUUACUUGUACUAUAUACAUUUUUUCCAUUGAAACUAGUCUUUUGAUGCACUUAUAAAGGGUUUUUUGAAGAUCAUUAAAAAUCUUGAUACUACAUACAUAUACACUGUAUCAUAGCCGCAAAUUUUUGCACAAACCUGAGGUGCUGUUAAAAUUUGAUUAUGCCCUGUUGUUAUAUGAUAAUAUUGAUUUUUAUCAUGAUUUUUAAGUAUAUUUUUAUAAAUUGAGGUAUGCAAAUACAGAUAAUUUUUUUUAACUACUCAGGUCUAAAUAUGAUUUUAUUUUUAACUAUUGAUUCGAUUUUUUUUCUUCAAUUUAUGAAUGAUUUAAACACCAUAAAACAAGGAUGCUAUAGAUGUACUACAUGUGCACUGACUUGAAUGUUAAUAUACUUCUGGCAUAAUUUUAACUAUAUAGAUACAUUUAUUAUAUUUAUUACCAGUCAAUAAACUCGUAAAAUAUAAGUGUUCUAGGACAGACAUUGGAACACCGGCCCUCUUAUGAAUUACCAUGCAUUAGAACAGAAUUGACAAUUCUUUAAAAUAUUAAGUUACCCUAAAAUGUUACUGAAACAUGAUUAUGAUAUUGCUGAUUUUGAACCAUGAUUCAUUCACCAUCUUGUGUGGUGUAUGUUACUAUUUGUAACCUUUUUGCCAUUGUUAGUGAUUUUGUUGUCCACUUGAGGUUGAUUUACACUGUACAUGUAGUUUAUCUACCAUUGCAAAUGUCAUUCUGUUGAUUCAAUUAUGAUUUACAUGUACCGGUGUAUUAUUAUUGUUAUGAAUAAUAUUAUUUAAUGUUUAAAUAAAAUCACUGCUAUUG